UUCGAUCUUAGUGGCAUCAGUUUCUUUUUUAAGAAACUCUAUUUUCGAAAAGACUGUCCUAUUGCUGACAAACACCUUUUAUUCUUCAGCAAGAUAGAAAUAGUACCUUUUAAUUUUUUUUGAGUAUCCUACAAAUAAAUACUUAUCGAACCUUGAUCCAAGCUUAUCUAUCUUUAAAUAUUUGACAUAAGUCAGACACCCCC
rnacentral:lncRNA from 1 species